UUGGAGGGCAAGUCUGGUGCCAGCAGCCGCGGUAAUUCCAGCUCCAAUAGCGUAUAUUAAAGUUGUUGCGGUUAAAAAGCUCGUAGUUGAAUUUCGGGGUCAGUAGGUCGGUCGUGCCGCUGGUAUGAACUGGUUUUACUGAUUCCUCCCUCUUGAAGAACUGUAAUGCCAUUAAUUUGGUGUUGCAGGGAAUCAGGACUGUUACUUUGAAAAAAUUAGAGUGUUUAAAGCAGGCUUUAGCUUGAAUACAUUAGCAUGGAAUAAUGAAAUAGGACGUUUGAUCCUAUUUUGUUGGUUUCUAGGAUUGACGUAAUGAUUAAUAGGGAUAGUUGGGGGCAUUAGUAUUCAAUUGUCAGAGGUGAAAUUCUUGGAUUUAUUGAAGACUAACUACUGCGAAAGCAUUUGCCAAGGAUGUUUUCAUUAAUCAAGAACGAAAGUUAGGGGAUCGAAGACGAUCAGAUACCGUCGUAGUCUUAACCAUAAACUAUGCCGACUAGGGAUCGGAUGAUGUUAAUUUUUUAAUGACUCGUUCGGCGCCUUACGGGAAAC
rnacentral:rRNA from 1 species